GAAGGGGGCUAGCGUUGUUCGGAAUUACUGGGCGUAAAGCGCGCGCAGGCGGUCUUCCAAGUCAGUGGUGAAAGCCCGGAGCUCAACUCCGGAACUGCCAUUGAAACUGUUAGACUUGAGGAUGAGAGAGGUGAGUGGAAUUCCCAGUGUAGAGGUGAAAUUCGUAGAUAUUGGGAAGAACACCGGUGGCGAAGGCGGCUCACUGGCUCAUAUCUGACGCUCAGGCGCGAUAGCGUGGGGAUCAAACAGGAUUAGAUACCCUGGUAGUCCACGCCGUAAACGAUGAAUGCUAGCCGUUGGGCAGCUUGCUGUUCAGUGGCGCAGCUAACGCAUUAAGCAUUCCGCCUGGGGAGUACGGCCGCAAGGUUGAA
rnacentral:rRNA from 1 species